rnacentral:rRNA from 1 species
GACGAACGCUGGCGGCGUGCUUAACACAUGCAAGUCGAACGAGUGGCGAACGGGUGAGUAACACGUGAGCAACCUGCCCUGACUCUGGGAUAACCCCGGGAAACCGGAGCUCAUACCGGAUAGUAAGGAUGGGCUCUCGGCCUAUCAGCUUGUUGGUGGGGUAACGGCCACCAAGGCGACGACGGGUAGCCGGCCUGAGAGGGCGAGCGGCCACACGGGGACUGAGACACGGCGCAGACUACUACGGGAGGCAGCAGUGGGGAAUAUGACACAAUGGGCGAUAGCAUGAUGCAGCGACGCCGCGGGAGGGACGAAGGCCUUCGGGUUGUAAACCUCUUUCAGCAGGGAAGCGGUACCUGCAGAAGAAGCACCGGCUAACUACGUGCCAGCAGCCGCGGUAAUUC